CGGCGCUCCCUCCUUCGAGCGCCAAGUGCGCACGCGGCAAUCUGGGAGGUGGUUUCGGGUGACGGAGUCCAGAGCCCGCUGGGCUUGGGUGAAUUUCUUUGUCUUGGUGCGCCGGCCGCGGCGUGCGGCGUGCGACGUGCGGAGGAAGUACGCUGGCGGAGCUGUGUUCCCGUGUGUUUACGGACGGAAAGUUGGCGGAAGAAAUGGCAGUAAACGCCCGUGGAUACAGAGGCAGUGCGCCCCAGCAGCGAGAGUGGCGCCACCAAGUUCCUUCCCUGGGAACUACACUCAGCAUCUCAGCAUCAAACCACCGUAGCUUUGAAUUGUGUAGGGACUCCAAAGAGAUGAGAGGCUGUGGUUCUUCAGUGGUUGAUGGAAAUGUAUGUGUACCAGGCACUGUUUUAGGGGCCAGGGACACCAUGAUGAUCAAGACAGCCUGAGUCCCUGCCGUCAUGGAAGUUGAUCACAUAGUCCUAGCCAAACAGAGCAAAUCAGCAGGUAAUCAAAUAAAUAUAAGGGUGCAAAGUUCCGCCA
rnacentral:lncRNA from 1 species